GAUUACCACAGCGGGUUUCGCUCGUGGUGAGCGGCACGAAAAACAUGACGACAUCGUGUUGGUGCGCACGAAACCGAAACAAAAACUGAUGUGACAGUUUCACGAAUCCCCGUGAGACCGGGCUGACAGGUCACCAGUCUGUCACAGGGCUACAUAUACAGACACACAAUCACACUCACAUUCACACCUAUGGGCAAUUUAGAGUAACCAAUUAACCUCAGCAUAUUUUUGGACUGUGGGAGGAAGCCGGAGUACCCGGAGAAAACCCACGCAUGCACAGGGAGAACAUGCAAACUCCAUGCAGAAAGAUCCCAGGCCCACCCCGGGAUUCCAACUGGGAUCUUCUUGCUGCAAGGCGAAAGUGCUAACCACUACACUACUGUGCAGCCGACUCCACAAAAAUGUAAAACAAAUAAAUUAUAAAAUACAAAGAACAACUAUUUACAACUCAAUUUUCAACUAUUUAAAUAUUCAGCUUUUUCCUUUUAAACAAAUUUAAAGUGAAACAACACAAAACACAGCAAACCACUUUGUUUUUCACAUCCCACUCUUUUGCCACUUUGAGCAGCUCUUCUGCUAAGUUCUCAGCAGUGUGUCUGUCGCUGAACUCAAAACAAUCCAGAAGACAGAACACCAUUUUAAAUUUUUCAAUAAAGUGACACGUAACUGACAAGAAGGAUGUAUUGGUUUGGGAUGUCCAGCUGUCAGUUAUUAGACAGACUGCUGUGGCUUUUUUUUAACCCUCUCUUGCAGUAAUGUAUGUUCUGUGUCAUACAGGCCUGGGAUGAUUUUUUGGGAAAGUGUUUUCCUGCUUGGAAUUGCAUACAUUGGAUUUAGUGCAUGAACAAACUCCCUGGAUCCUUUAUCAUCCACAACUGAAAAUGGUUGAAAAUCAAGGGUAAUCAUUUUUGCCAGUGCUUCAUCAAUUGAGUUCUGUCUUGCUGUGGUCACAGACUUCUGCAAAAACUGUUUCAUAGAGCUCUGGAUCGGAGGUUUUGGUGGUUGUGGUGGCAUAGUACAUGAUGCUGUAGAUACUGCAGCAGAAGCAGCAGCAGCAACAGUAGCAGUAGACACACUGGCACCUUCAUUAAUACCACAUUCAACCCAUUGCACUGAUGGGUGGACAGUUCUCAGAUGCCUGUGGAGGUUGUUUGUGGAGCCGGCUCUGUAGGAUAUUCUUUUCUUGCAGACUCUACACUCUGCCUUUGUAUUAUCAACUUGAUAUCAAAUUGAAAUGGUUCCAGAUUUUACUCGUUUUCCUGGUGUCACUCAUUUUCUUUACCUUUCUAUCGAUGUCUGAUUUUGUUGCCCCUGGCUCUCUUUCUCUCUGUCCCUCCUGCUCUGUUCCUCAUCUACCGCUGCUGCGUCUGUGAGUGUAACUGCCGCCCCUCCCCCGCUCUGCUCAGCGCAAACACAUAUUGACCAAUCACGUCUGGCUUGAAGUGAAAAAAAGUGAGAGAGCAUGGGUGAGAGAGAGAAAAAAAAAAACAACACGGCUCCCAGCGCGGCUCCCAAUAAGGAGCCGGCUCCCGUCGGUCACUUGAAAGAUCCGGCUCUAAGAGCCGUUUCGUUCGCGAACGACACAUCACUACAGUCACACACAGCAGGAAUUUGAACAGGAUCACCUCACACAUCGCUGGAAGUCAUUCACUUUUCACAAGCGUGGACACUUUGAACUCCUACCAUUGAGGAAGCCUUCACCCCUGGAAACAUGCUCUUGGAUUUUUGGAUGUCACCUACCUGAACCUGUACUGUGCUGAGUGUUGGUAAGCAGCAGUUAAUGGAGAUUAAUGAUUGAUGAUGAUUGAUUGAAGCCUGUUUGCCGAACAGGUUAGGCUUCAAUGGAGAAUUUGAUUUGAUGGCGAGCUACCCUGGAACGAACUGGAAACAGUUGGCUAAGAUUCACCCCUUCACCCCUUCACCCACCCCACUGUUGGCAGGCCUCACAGCCUCUUUCCUUCCCCACUGGUGUGGUAGAACUUACUUACUUUAGAUGGAUUGAUUCACCUUGGUUGGAUUUGUUUAGUUUAGUUUAUGGACUUGUUUCGAAUGAACUAUUUUGAUUAACACCACUGGCAACAGUGGAACCAUGCUCACCUGUAUUUAUUGCUAAACUGAAUGUAGCACUGUUGCUUUUGAUUGUCAAAUGUGAAGCUGAAUGUUUAAUUUAUUCUCAAUCUGAUUUUCUGUUUGUUUUGGUUUAUUAUUUUGGUCAUUGUUUUGACUUGAUGUAUUUUUUGUUUAUUUUUUUUAAAUACAUUACUGGUAAUCUAA